AUCUAAGCGGGAAACUCGCCUUGAGAUGAGAUAUCCCCGGGGCUUCGAGCCCCUUGAAGGGUCGUUCAAGACCAGGACGUUGAUAGGUCAGGUGUGGAAGCGCAGUAAUGCGUUAAGCUAACUGAUACUAAUUGCCCGUAAGGCUUGAUCCUAUAACC
rnacentral:rRNA from 1 species